UGUGCCUAAUACAUGCAAGUCGAGCGCACUGGCCCAACUGAUAUGACGUGCUUGCACUGAUUUGACGAUGGAUCACCAGUGAGCGGCGGACGGGUGAGUAACACGUGGGCAACCUGCCCUGGAGCGGGGGAUAACAUUUGGAAACAGAUGCUAAUACCGCAUAAUAAUCAAAACCACAUGGUUUUGAUUUCAAAGAUGGUUUCGGCUAUCACUCCAGGAUGGGCCCGCGGUGCAUUAGCUAGUUGGUAAGGUAACGGCUUACCAAGGCGAUGAUGCAUAGCCGAGUUGAGAGACUGAUCGGCCACAAUGGAACUGAGACACGGUCCAUACUCCUACGGGAGGCAGCAGUAGGGAAUCUUCCACAAUGGGCGCAAGCCUGAUGGAGCAACACCGCGUGAGUGAAGAAGGGUUUCGGCUCGUAAAACUCUGUUGUUGAAGAAGAACGUGCGUGAGAGUAACUGUUCACGCAGUGACGGUAUUCAACCAGAAAGUCACGGCUAACUAC
rnacentral:rRNA from 2 species